rnacentral:lncRNA from 1 species
GGAGUCUCGCUCUGUCACCCAGGCUGGAGUGCAGUGGCGCGAUCUCGGCUCACUGCAAGCUGUGCCUCCCAGGUUCACGCCAUUCUCCUGCCUCAGCCUCCCGAGUAGCUGGGACUACAGGCACCUGCCACCACGCCUGGCUAAUUUUUUGUAUUUUUAGUAAGAGAUGGGGUUUCACCAUAUUAGCCUGGAUGGUUUCGAUCUCCUGACCUGAUCUGCCCACCACAGCCUCCCAAAGUGCUGGGAUUACAGGCGUGAGCCAUGGCACCCAGUUUUCGUUUUUUUUUGAGACAGGGACUCACUCUGUCAUCCAGGCUGGAGUGCACUUGGCACCAUUAUGGCUCAUUACAGCCUCAAACUCCCUGGUUCAAGCAGUCUUUCUGCCCCAGCCUCCUGCGCAGCUGGGACUACAGGCAUGUACCACCACACCCAGAUCACUGAGUUGGUUAGUGAUACGAUGUCAUCUUAGCAGGUUAGUUCUUCUGCCCUUUUUGUAGAACAUAAUCCAUGGGUAGGUUUUCUGGCCUUAGAAAAUAUAUCUACUCCAUAUAAAGAAAAAAAAAACAAAUAGGCAAUGUAUCUACUGCAAGCCUGGGCACACUGGCUCAUGCCUGUAAUCUCAGCACGUUGGGAGGCCGAGGCAGGCAGAUCACUUGAGAUCAGGAGUUUGAGACCAGCCUGGCCAACAUGCUAAAAUCUCAUUUCUACUAAAAAUGCAAAACAAUUAGCUGGGCCGGGUGCAGUGGCUCACACCUGUAAUCCCAGCGCUUUGGGAGGCCAAGCCAGGCGGAUCAGCUGAGGUCAGGAGUUCAAGACCAGUUCAGCCAACAUGGUGAAACCCUGUCUCUACUAAAACUACAAAAAUUAGCCAGGCGUGGUGGUGCAUGCCUGUAAUCCCAGCUACUUGGGAGGCUGAGGCAGGAGAAUUGCUUGAACCUGGGAGGCAGAGGUUGCAGUGAGCCAAGAUUGUGCCACUGCAUUCCAGCCUGGGCAACGAGUGAGACUCUGUCUCAAAAAAGAAAAAAUUAGCCGUACAUGGUGGUAUGCACCUGUAAUCCCAGCUACUCAGGAGGUUGAGGCAGGAGAAUCCCUUGAACUUGAGAUGUGGAGGUUGCAGUGAGCUGAGAUGGCACCAUUGCACUUCAGCCUGGGAAACACAGUGAGACUCCAUCUCAAAAAAGCAAACAACAGGAAAAAAAAAAAAAAAAAGAAAGACUGUGACUGUUGUAGAUGUAAAAAGAUCUUUGUGCCCCCAACUUCAGAAAGCUGCUCAGAAGGACAUACUCUCUAAUGCCCUCUUCAGAGACAUGGCCGACAUUGAUAAUGAAAAAGGUAGAACCUCCCCACAGGCAGAGUGAAGAAUCUGGAUGAAGUACCUCCAGAAAACAACACAAGAACCUCAUCAAUGUCACUAUCCCCUAGUAAGGGGAAUCUCCUAUCAUUUGCCAAGUAAUACUUAAGAUUUUGGCUGGGUGUGCUGGCUUACACCUGUAAUUCCAGCACCACAGGAGGCUGAGGUGGGUAGAUGGCUUUAACCCAGGAGUUCAAGACCGGCCAGGGCAACAAAGUGAGACCCUGUCUCUACCACAAAAAAUAAAAAAAAUAAAAAAAAAAAAAG